GAAAGGGCCAAAUACGACUCUUAAUGAUACAACAGGAAAAUAUAGGUCUGAUGUUCAUUCCGUGUGGACAACAAUAGCAGCCAUUCCCACAAAUGUCUCAUUUGUGGGAAGUAAACACUACUUUUGCAGAAUCUUACAUGAUUUCAGUAGAAGGGCAAGGACAUUUCAGUUGGGAACAGAUUGCUCCAUGGUAAUGUGAUCACUAUGUACCCAACAAUGGCUCUUUCUUCCUAACGUCAAUGCAGAUGUUAUUUUCACCUUAACUAUUAUCAUUGCUGUUUCUAACCACAUAAAAGUGUAUCCUUUAUAUAUCUGAAGUAAAUUCAUACUAGUGGUGUAACAUCUCCAGCCAUUUAAGUGUAAAAACAGAAAACGUAUGAUGUGUUGACUUACUGUUUUAUACUCCUAACGCAUGAAGAGAAGAUCCUUUUAUUCAUUGCCUAUACUUUUAUUUCUAAACUUUCUGUAACACUUUAUCUUAUAUCCAGCAUAGAACUGAGAUUUGCUUUUUGAUUUAAUCUGACAAUAUUUUUCCUCUAAUAAGAGUCAAGCCCACUUACUUUUAAUGAUAAAUUGUGUUUGUUUAUAUUUUGAUAGCCGUAUAUUAUGCUAUGAUUUAGAUGCACAUAUCUGUCUUUUGCUGUCUUGUUUGUUUUUAUUGCUUUUGUUUUGAUGUUGUGAUAUUUGGAAGAGUUAAACUUUUAUUCUGAUGGCUACCUUAUGUAAUUUCAUAAAAUCAUCUCUUUCUUUAGACAGUAGCGAAUGUCUCUAAACUAAGAACAAUGAUAUUAGCUGUAUUCUCUUUCUUGUCCUCCCUAUGUGAUUUUUCAUCCCACAAUUUGAUUUAAUCAUAUUAACUUUGUUUCCCCUGGUGCCAUUAAGUAUGCUUACAUUUCUAUAAACAAUAUCCUUUGACUCCCAGGCAUUACAGAUGAGCAGUCAGUAAAAUCAUUCUGAGGAAUACUUUCUCUUUCCUUUUCUUCCAUUUUUCUUAGUUGUAUCAUUUCUAUAUUGCCAGAGCACCUAUAGUUGCAUUUCUUUCUGUCAGCUUUAUCCAGCAUUUGUUUUUGUCUUUUAUUUGAAGUUAAAUAUAUUCCUUGCUCACUACAACACUGGGGGAAGGAAGGUUUCUGUUGUCAUUGUUGUGCUUGUACAGUUGUUUAUUUAAAAACAUUGGUGAAAAUAAAAACUGUAUGUAGAUGGAGUGGAGAUAAGACAGCAAAUGAGAGAGACUGAUGAUGAGUGUGCCUAUUCUAGACUGGGAGGCGUGCUACACUGAGUAGUGUCUCAAGGCCACAGGAAAGGAUGGUUGAUUGUGAGCAGGUGGCCUUUCCACUGGAGGAGAGAAGUCCUGCGCUCAACAACCUGUGCAGAACCAGAAACUGGUAAUGCUUCAAAUCAACUUACAGACCUGGAGGUAGAAAUUUAAGAAAACUCGUUUAGCACUUAGUUACCUAGAAAAUAUUAGCAACUAUUUGCUGAGCAUCUAUCAGUCUGUCUGUAGCAUGGAAGACCUGAGUACAGGGGAAACUGGAUUAGUAACAGUGGGUCAGAAAAUUAUAUAAUAUUCAACCAAAAUUCCUGCUUUACAUACACAGCACCUGGUAUUUCCAGAACUAGAAGGCUGAAGUCCUGAGGCCAGAAUGAGACUAGGACAUGGUUCCUUUGUCUAAGUAAAGUGAGGCAGACAAUGGAAUACUUCAGACUUCAAAUUAGUAUGAUUUUCAAAACGUCAUACCUCGAACCACCACCAGAUGGCUCUGAGAAUGUUACAAAUAUUGUGCCACCAUAUAAUGCUUUCUCAGCCCAAGGCAUGCCAGAGGUAAAAUAAAAUGCAUUUGUAACCCAAGUCUUUAAAUGGUUCUUUUGCUAUAUAAAACCUGUAUAGAGGACUAAAACCAAGGAAAUUAGGUGAAUCAUUCAUGCGGAUUCAUUGUUUGAUAUUCAGUACUAUGAAAACCUCAUCCCUCA
rnacentral:lncRNA from 1 species